rnacentral:rRNA from 1 species
UAAGCGGAGGAAAAGAAACUAACAAGGAUUUCCUUAGUAACGGCGAGCGAACCGGAAGGAGCCCAGCUUGAAAAUCGCGAGGCUUUGCCGUGCGAAUUGUAGUCUGGAGAAGCGUCCUCUGCAGCGGACCGGGCCCAAGUUCCCUGGAACGGGACGUCGGAGAGGGUGAGAGCCCCGUCGAGCUCGGACCCUGCUGCUCCACGAGGCGCUGUCGGCGAGUCGGGCUGUUUGGGAAUGCAGCCCUAAGCGGGUGGUAAAUUCCAUCCAAGGCUAAAUACGGGCAAGAGACCGAUAGCGAACAAGUACCGCGAGGGAAAGAUGAAA